rnacentral:rRNA from 1 species
UUAAGCGACUAAGCGUACACGGUGGAUGCCCUGGCAGUCAGAGGCGAUGAAGGACGUGCUAAUCUGCGAUAAGCGUCGGUAAGGUGAUAUGAACCGUUAUAACCGGCGAUUUCCGAAUGGGGAAACCCAGUGUGUUUCGACACACUAUCAUUAACUGAAUCCAUAGGUUAAUGAGGCGAACCGGGGGAACUGAAACAUCUAAGUACCCCGAGGAAAAGAAAUCAACCGAGAUUCCCCCAGUAGCGGCGAGCGAACGGGGAGCAGCCCAGAGCCUGAAUCAGUGUGUGUGUUAGUGGAAGCGUCUGGAAAGGCGCGCGAUACAGGGUGACAGCCCCGUACACAAAAAUGCACAUGCUGUGAGCUCGAUGAGUAGGGCGGGACACGUGGUAUCCUGUCUGAAUAUGGGGGGACCAUCCUCCAAGGCUAAAUACUCCUGACUGACCGAUAGUGAACCAGUACCGUGAGGGAAAGGCGAAAAGAACCCCGGCGAGGGGAGUGAAAAAGAACCUGAAACCGUGUACGUACAAGCAGUGGGAGCACGCUUAGGCGUGUGACUGCGUACCUUUUGUAUAAUGGGUCAGCGACUUAUAUUCUGUAGCAAGGUUAACCGAAUAGGGGAGCCGAAGGGAAACCGAGUCUUAACUGGGCGUUAAGUUGCAGGGUAUAGACCCGAAACCCGGUGAUCUAGCCAUGGGCAGGUUGAAGGUUGGGUAACACUAACUGGAGGACCGAACCGACUAAUGUUGAAAAAUUAGCGGAUGACUUGUGGCUGGGGGUGAAAGGCCAAUCAAACCGGGAGAUAGCUGGUUCUCCCCGAAAGCUAUUUAGGUAGCGCCUCGUGAAUUCAUCUCCGGGGGUAGAGCACUGUUUCGGCAAGGGGGUCAUCCCGACUUACCAACCCGAUGCAAACUGCGAAUACCGGAGAAUGUUAUCACGGGAGACACACGGCGGGUGCUAACGUCCGUCGUGAAGAGGGAAACAACCCAGACCGCCAGCUAAGGUCCCAAAGUCAUGGUUAAGUGGGAAACGAUGUGGGAAGGCCCAGACAGCCAGGAUGUUGGCUUAGAAGCAGCCAUCAUUUAAAGAAAGCGUAAUAGCUCACUGGUCGAGUCGGCCUGCGCGGAAGAUGUAACGGGGCUAAACCAUGCACCGAAGCUGCGGCAGCGACGCUUAUGCGUUGUUGGGUAGGGGAGCGUUCUGUAAGCCUGCGAAGGUGUGCUGUGAGGCAUGCUGGAGGUAUCAGAAGUGCGAAUGCUGACAUAAGUAACGAUAAAGCGGGUGAAAAGCCCGCUCGCCGGAAGACCAAGGGUUCCUGUCCAACGUUAAUCGGGGCAGGGUGAGUCGACCCCUAAGGCGAGGCCGAAAGGCGUAGUCGAUGGGAAACAGGUUAAUAUUCCUGUACUUGGUGUUACUGCGAAGGGGGGACGGAGAAGGCUAUGUUGGCCGGGCGACGGUUGUCCCGGUUUAAGCGUGUAGGCUGGUUUUCCAGGCAAAUCCGGAAAAUCAAGGCUGAGGCGUGAUGACGAGGCACUACGGUGCUGAAGCAACAAAUGCCCUGCUUCCAGGAAAAGCCUCUAAGCAUCAGGUAACAUCAAAUCGUACCCCAAACCGACACAGGUGGUCAGGUAGAGAAUACCAAGGCGCUUGAGAGAACUCGGGUGAAGGAACUAGGCAAAAUGGUGCCGUAACUUCGGGAGAAGGCACGCUGAUAUGUAGGUGAAGUCCCUCGCGGAUGGAGCUGAAAUCAGUCGAAGAUACCAGCUGGCUGCAACUGUUUAUUAAAAACACAGCACUGUGCAAACACGAAAGUGGACGUAUACGGUGUGACGCCUGCCCGGUGCCGGAAGGUUAAUUGAUGGGGUUAGCGGUAACGCGAAGCUCUUGAUCGAAGCCCCGGUAAACGGCGGCCGUAACUAUAACGGUCCUAAGGUAGCGAAAUUCCUUGUCGGGUAAGUUCCGACCUGCACGAAUGGCGUAAUGAUGGCCAGGCUGUCUCCACCCGAGACUCAGUGAAAUUGAACUCGCUGUGAAGAUGCAGUGUACCCGCGGCAAGACGGAAAGACCCCGUGAACCUUUACUAUAGCUUGACACUGAACAUUGAGCCUUGAUGUGUAGGAUAGGUGGGAGGCUUUGAAGUGUGGACGCCAGUCUGCAUGGAGCCGACCUUGAAAUACCACCCUUUAAUGUUUGAUGUUCUAACGUUGACCCGUGAUCCGGGUUGCGGACAGUGUCUGGUGGGUAGUUUGACUGGGGCGGUCUCCUCCUAAAGAGUAACGGAGGAGCACGAAGGUUGGCUAAUCCUGGUCGGACAUCAGGAGGUUAGUGCAAUGGCAUAAGCCAGCUUGACUGCGAGCGUGACGGCGCGAGCAGGUGCGAAAGCAGGUCAUAGUGAUCCGGUGGUUCUGAAUGGAAGGGCCAUCGCUCAACGGAUAAAAGGUACUCCGGGGAUAACAGGCUGAUACCGCCCAAGAGUUCAUAUCGACGGCGGUGUUUGGCACCUCGAUGUCGGCUCAUCACAUCCUGGGGCUGAAGUAGGUCCCAAGGGUAUGGCUGUUCGCCAUUUAAAGUGGUACGCGAGCUGGGUUUAGAACGUCGUGAGACAGUUCGGUCCCUAUCUGCCGUGGGCGCUGGAGAACUGAGGGGGGCUGCUCCUAGUACGAGAGGACCGGAGUGGACGCAUCACUGGUGUUCGGGUUGUCAUGCCAAUGGCACUGCCCGGUAGCUAAAUGCGGAAGAGAUAAGUGCUGAAAGCAUCUAAGCACGAAACUUGCCCCGAGAUGAGUUCUCCCUGACUCCUUGAGAGUCCUGAAGGAACGUUGAAGACGACGACGUUGAUAGGCCGGGUGUGUAAGCGCAGCGAUGCGUUGAGCUAACCGGUACUAAUGAACCGUGAGGCUUAACCU